GACGAACGCGGGCGGCGUGCCUAAUACAUGCAAGUCGAACGCUUUUUCUUUCACCGGAGCUUGCUCCACCGAAAGAAAAAGAGUGGCGAACGGGUGAGUAACACGUGGGUAACCUGCCCAUCAGAAGGGGAUAACACUUGGAAACAGGUGCUAAUACCGUAUAACACUAUUUUCCGCAUGGAAGAAAGUUGAAAGGCGCUUUUGCGUCACUGAUGGAUGGACCCGCGGUGCAUCAGCUAGUUGGUGAGGUAACGGCUCACCAAGGCAACGAUGCAUAGCCGACCUGAGAGGGUGAUCGGCCACACUGGGAGUGAGACACGGCCCAGACUCCUACGGGAGGCAGCAGUAGGGAAUCUUCGGCAAUGGACGAAAGUCUGACCGAGCAACGCCGCGUGAGUGAAGAAAGGUUUUUCGGAUCGUAAAAAC
rnacentral:rRNA from 1 species